rnacentral:tRNA from 1 species
GCGCUCGUAGCUCAGCGGAUAGAGCACUGGCCUCCGGAGCCAGGAGCGGGGGUUCGAUUCCCUCCGAGCGCG